rnacentral:rRNA from 1 species
UACAGAGGUGGCAAGCGUUGUUCGGAAUUACUGGGCGUAAAGGGCGCGUAGGCGGAUCGUUAAGUCGGGGGUGAAAUCCUGGAGCUCAACUCCAGAACUGCCUUCGAUACUGGCGAUCUUGAGUCCGGAAGAGGUGAGUGGAAUUCCUAGUGUAGAGGUGGAAUUCGUAGAUAUUAGGAAGAACACCAGUGGCGAAGGCGGCUCACUGGUCCGGUACUGACGCUGAGGUGCGAAAGCGUGGGGAGCAAACAGG